GAUGAAGAACGCAGCGAAAUGCGAUAAGUAAUGUGAAUUGCAGAAUUCAGUGAAUCAUCGAAUAUUUGAACGCACAUUGCGCCCCCUGGUAUUCCGGGGGGCAUGCCUGUCCGAGCGUCAUUACAACCCUCAAGCUCAGCUUGGUGUUGGGCCCCGCCGCCCCGGCGGGCCCUAAAGUCAGUGGCGGUGCCGUCCGGCUCCGAGCGUAGUAAUUCUUCUCGCUCUGGAGGUCCGGUCGUGUGCUCGCCAGCAACCCCCAAUUUUUUUCAGGUUGACCUCGGAUCAGGUAGGGAUACCCGCUGAACUUAAGCAUAUCAAUAGCGGAGGA
rnacentral:misc_RNA from 1 species